rnacentral:rRNA from 1 species
UACGUAGGGACCAAGCGUUGUUCGGAUUUACUGGGCGUAAAGGGCGCGUAGGCGGCGUGAUAAGUCACUUGUGAAAUCUCUGGGCUUAACCCAGAACGGCCAAGUGAAACUGUUGUGCUAGAGUGCAGAAGGGGCAAUCGGAAUUCUCGGUGUAGCGGUGAAAUGCGUAGAUAUCGAGAGGAACACCAGAGGUGAAGGCGGGUUGCUGGGCUGACACUGACGCUGAGGCGCGAAAGCCAGGGGAGCAAACGGG